CGAGCUGCCGCGGCCGUCCUCCUCGCCCUCCGAGUCCGAGUCCUCGCCGUGGAUGAGGCGCACCAGCCCGAAGUGCACCGAGCCGCGGUCCAUCACCAGCUUUAAAUCCCAAGGGAAGGAAGAGACUCUCCUCUGAGAGCUCGGACAGUGUCUGCAGACCGGGAGACUGGGCCUGAAGGAUGCUGGAUCCUCUAAAGAUGACGUUGCCCUCAGACAGCAGGAAGUAAAUUUAAGAACACAACGCCCACAUUCCUAAUAUGUAGGGUAGGUGGUGUUUGGUCUUUCAAUGGGUUACGGAUAUUUGUCAUUGUUUAGGGUAGUUGGUUACAAGUUGUUGUUGGUAAUG